UUCGUUGAGUGUCACACAAUUCAUUAUUGUUUAAUUCAAAGAUUAAUACAUUAAUCUUUGGUUUAAUUUGUGUUGAUAAUCUGUUAUUUUGAGUGUCAAUAUUGCAUUAGCGAGUAUCAUCGACGUUGCCAUUAGCAACUCGGACCAUAUGAUCGAAACAUGUGACUGUCUUUAAAUUUUUAAAGCUUUUUGUGGGAAAACAUAACAGUAAGUCAGAUUGAGUAAGACAAGUAAACUUUAUGACCUUGCUAAGAAUGUGUUUUUUUCUUGAUUUAUAUUCUGUAUUUGUUUAAUUGACUCAAUCUUCUUCAGCUUCUUUCUAUCAAAUGUCAUUUAAUUUCGAUUAAGGUCAUUUAUUGGUGAUUCCAUUGAUUCUAAGGCUGAACUCAUUGAAUCAAAACUUGGACCUUAUUUAUGUGUCUUCUUUUUGUUCAUCCAUCUUUACUUAGUUUAUUCUCAUCUGAAAUUUUUUUUAUGAAUCCAUUGUAUCAAGUAAAGCAAAGUAAACUGAACCUGAAACAUCAGUAAAAGGAUGGUGAGUUUCUGUUGGUGAGGACUGAAGAGGAAAAGAAUGCAAAAGGUCAAAGAAACCCGUAAACCGGUUUUAAAGUUUGUGGCGUGUAACCCAUAAUAUACCAACAUCGUCCAUGAAGAAGGCCGCCAUCUUUUUUCACUGUUUCCAGAUUUUUUGCCAACACAUCUAACAGGAAACGUCAACUUGAGUACACCUCUUCAUAUUUGAAACAUCUUAUAAGAUCAAAUGUUAUCAAAUGGAAGAUGCAAAGACACGAAAUAUGUGGAUAAAUUUGGAGGAAUCAUGAAAGCUGCUGAUAUAGACGUUACUAAGCUUAAAGAACAAUCGGAAUAAAAAAUAGAUGGAGUAGAAUGGAAUAAUGGCGGAGAAAAGAACUGAAACUGGAAUUAGGAUGAAUGAAGAAAUAUAAUGGCAAUGAUAAUAAAAAAGCUGUUUUAAUGAUCUGGCCAAAAAAGUUUAGCGAGGCCCGAAAUAGCUAUUACCUGUUAAAUUUUUCGUGUUACUGUUAAACCAUAUCAAAAAAAAACUUCUUCAGAAUGGAACCAAAGAAGCUGUCUGAUAGUUGUAAAGAAAAAAGGAGAAAAUUUUAAAUUCAAGUUUCAUCUUGAAAUAUCUUCUCUCAAUAUCUUAUCAGCUAACAAAGUGGUUAUGAAGUUUUGACAUUUCUUGGCGAGUCGUUAACAAAAUGCCUAACUUACAGGAAUAGAAAUAAUUCAAACACGGUUUCUCAUCAGAAAUCAUGCAGAAAUAAAAUUCAAUGAUACAACUACUUGUGCUGUUCUGGUUCACCAGUACGGGAAUCAGCAAAGCCCCGAGGUAAUUGCUACGUGGUGAUAGGAAACUGCAUCAUUAUUAUAAACAAUAACAGAAGCAAUACCAGCAUCCAAAAUUCCUACAAUUGAAAUCAUGAUUGCUCAAAGUUGCCAAGAAAAUUCAUGAUCCAAGCCUUUGAUGGAUUCUCAACAGAGUAAUCAUAGACGAUCAAAGCUCUUAAAAGAUAAAACCAAACCAUGAAUGAAUUGUGCUCGACCCCGUAUGUCAACAUUUGAAACAAUCUUGAUGGGAAUUUGGGAAAAAGCUCAACAGAAGAAGCUGAAAUCUCUUAACCUUAAAAAACUACCUUUCCUGCAACCUGUUCCAAGGCCAAACAUAAUUAUGAUGAUUACUCAUUUUGCGCUCUCUUUAUUUAGUUCUAAUAAUAUUUGGCCUUUUUUGCUCGGUUUAACGGUAAAUCUUUUUGUAUCCAAUCAUAUCCUGUCAAGUAACCUAAUCAUGUGUUUGGAAUGCAUACGAUUUAGUUAAGCUCCAAAAAAUGCAUACAAGAAAAGGUCAAUUUUAGAGAAAAAUGGAUGGCGGUAAAUGAACAAAGCUAUGUAGCUGUUCUUAGAGAAAUUAACUUCCUGUGACUAUC